GGGGGAAAAAUUAAUAAUUAAUUAUAUUAAUAAAAAAAUUUUUAAAAUAUAUUUUAAUGGGGGUUAAAGUAUAUAUAUAGAAAAAAUUUUUAAAUUUAUAGUAAAAUAGUAUUGUAAAAGAAUUUUGAAAUAGGGAAAAUUAAUUUAAUAAAAAGUAAGUUUAAUUUAUUGUAUCUUGUGUAUCAGAGUUUAUUAAUAAUAUUUUUUAAGUAGAAAUUUCUCGAAUUUAAAAGAGUUAAUUAAUUAUAAAAGUUAAUGUAGUAUAAUUAUUUUUAAUAAUUAAUUGGAAAUGAAAUGUUAAUCGUUUUUAAAAGUAUCUAGUUUUUUUAGAAAAAAAUUUAAUUUUAAAUAUUAUAAUUUAAAAUUUUUAUUUAAUAAAAUUUUAAUAGUGUUAAUAUUAAAUAUUUUAAGGGAUAAGCUUUAAAAUAAAUUUUUAUAAUUAAUUUUAAAAUUAAUUAAAAUUUUAAAAUUUAAAUUGUUUAAUAAAUUAUAAUUUUUUAUAAAUAAUUUAAUUAUAAUUAAAAUUUAAUAAAAAAAUUUAAAUUUUUAUAAAAAAAUAUAUUUUAAUAAAAUAGAAUUAAAUAUAAUGAUAAAAUUAGUAUAUAAAUUUAAAUAAAUAAAUAAAUUUAAUUGAAGUUAAUUAAAGGAAUUCGGCAAAUUUUAUAUUCACUUGUUUAUCAAAAACAUGUCUUUUUGAAAAUAAUUUAAAGUCUAAUCUGCCCACUGAUAAAUUAUUAAAGGGCUGCAGUAUUUUGACUGUACAAAGGUAGCAUAAUCAUUAGUCUCUUAAUUGGUGACUUGUAUGAAAGAUUGGAUGAAAUAUAUACUGUCUCUAUUUAAUUUAUAAAAUUUAAUUUUUUAGUAAAAAAGCUAAAAUGAAUUUAAAAGACGAGAAGACCCUAUAGAGUUUAAUAAUUUAUUUAAUUAUUAUUAAUGUAUAAAUUUUAAAAUUAAAAUUGAAUAAAUUAUUUUGUUGGGGUGAUAGAAAAAUUAAAUUAACUUUUUUUUAUUUUAUACAUUAAUUUAUGAAUAAAUGAUCCAUUAAUAAUGAUUAAAAGAAAAAAUUACCUUAGGGAUAACAGCGUAAUUUUUUUUUUAGUUCAAAUAGGAAAAAAAGUUUGCGACCUCGAUGUUGGAUUAAGAUAAAAAUUAAAUGCAAAAGUUUAAAAUUUUGAUCUGUUCGAUCAUUAAAAUCUUACAUGAUCUGAGUUCAAACCGGUGUGAGCCAGGUUGGUUUCUAUCUUUAAAUAAUAAUGAUAUUUUA
rnacentral:rRNA from 1 species